rnacentral:rRNA from 1 species
GAUGAACGCUAGCUACAGGCUUAACACAUGCAAGUCGAACGAAGAGCGACGGAAGCUUGCUUCUAUCAAUCUUAGUGGCGAACGGGUGAGUAACGCGUAAUCAACCUGCCCUUCAGAGGGGGACAACAGUUGGAAACGACUGCUAAUACCGCAUACGAUCUAACCUCGGCAUCGAGGAUAGAUGAAAGGUGGCCUCUACAUGUAAGCUAUCACUGAAGGAGGGGAUUGCGUCUGAUUAGCUAGUUGGAGGGGUAACGGCCCACCAAGGCGAUGAUCAGUAGCCGGUCUGAGAGGAUGAACGGCCACAUUGGGACUGAGACACGGCCCAG